CAGUGAGCAUCACCCACUGAAGGGGACUAUGUAAGACAUCAAACUCACCUGUUGGAGGGAGUUUACCCACGGUGGCAGACAAUAUGGUGGGAACCACAGUGGCUGUAUUGCAACCACGAGAAGAACCUGAAGGUGGAAGCCCCUGUUAAGGAAGUGGAGCAGAAAGAUUGGGCCGCAGUAGACCAGGGCAUCAAGAAUAUUUUUAGAGAUGAGAGAUACCAGAGUAUGUUUGCAUAUUGGGAUGAGCCAUUAAGAAGAAGAGAUUGACGAGGAAGAGCCAGGGGGAUCACGACAGGACUGCAGCCCUGGAGAAGCUAAGUAUGGAGAAAUCCUGGGUGUCUGUUGACAAACUGGCCUUUGAUAGGCUGCUGCAGAUGGUUUAGGACACUUGCCAAUGCCCUUUUCUGAGGAAAAUUCCUCCAACAACUCUGACAUUUCAUUGCCCUUUUCAUCCCUUUGUCCUUUUCUCCAUGGACCGGAGUCUCCUGUCUCUUCCUUCCCAAAUUCAUUCCCCACACGGCUGCCAGAGUGAACAUUCCAAAAUGCAAAUCUGAUUUUAAAAGACCGAGUAGCUCCAGUCACCCAAGGGAUGAAGCUACACUCAAUUGCCUUGCAUUCAAGACGUUCUCUUUCUGGCCUCUCUUUCCAGCUUCCUAUCUUCAACAUUUCAUCAAGCAUUCUGCACACUCACCAUGCCUGGCUAUUGGCAUUUCCCUAAUGGAGCUCUAUCUUUCUUACCUCUAUGCUUUUCUUCCUGCUUCUCCCUUUUCUGAAAUCCUCCUACCUUUCUCUUUCACUAGUAGACUUUCAAGGCACAGCUCAAAUGCUAUGCUUUCUUGAUGCCUCCAGUGAAAAUUAAUUUUCUUUCCUCUCAUUCUUACUACAGCAGCUGUCCCUCCUCCCAUAACCUUGCUCUGCUCUUCAGGCAGGUGAUUCAGCUUUUCCUGUUGGCUGCUCCCUCUGGAUUGUAAACUUGAGGCCAGGGCUGUGACUGAUUCAACUUUGUAGUCUUGCUCCUUUCCACUCAGCUCAAUAAAUAUUUGUUGAAUGAAUGAAUGAUUGCUUCCUGGACUAGGCUUCCUUGUUUACUAAGAGAAAAGCUAUGAACCUCUGCUUUGUUUGCCAGUUCAGCAUCCCUUCCCUCUGUUUCUAGUAACAGCCCUCUUUCCUUGAGAGCCUGCCCAUCUUCCAUUCCCACCCCCACCCCAGGGGGAAAUUAGUCAGUCUUGCUGCAGCAACUCCUUCAACUCUGUGGGCUGCCCAGGAGUUUUCCAUAACACUUCUUUCUUGACUAAGUUGGUUGGAGUUUAUGAGUCAGAGGUGCCUCAUGAAAUACAAUUUUAUUUUAGUAUCAUCUCAAAGAGUUAGUCCCUUGCAAUACUUACAAGCAAUCUCUUUAAAUAAAGUUUAGUUUCCUUAAGUGAAAAAUCUGUACUCAGAUUUCGGGCCACAAUCUCAUUCCUCUCCAAGAUGGCUCUUAGGUGAAUGGGGCAUGGUUGUGGCUUACUGUGUCCUCUUGGCAGUGGAAAGGAAAGCGUUCUUUGGGUUCAUGUGAUAUCUUUUGACCCCUCUGGUUUCCAUGACAGUGUUUCCUGUUUCCAUGACAAUGUUCCCUGUCCACUGGAGGGAUGCCUGCCUGGCUGGCAUCUAUGGCUGAAGUCAAAGCUGGUGUUACUUGCAAUCUGGUCGCUCUAGGCUUGGCAGAGGCUGCAGUACUUCCUGGCUGCCAACCUCACUCAUCUCUGAUGGCUCUAAAACAUCCACUGUGCCUCUGCAUGUCCUCUACUGGCUUCUGGUUAGGGUGGUAGGAGGUGUAGCGUAGGGCCCAUCCUUCUCUGCUGUGUCAUCCCUCACCACAGUAGAUUUCAUGGUUGGAAAGCUUGCUCUCAGACUCAGCUACCCUAUUUCUCCCUUUCAGGGCCCAAUGGAAGCUCCUGGGUUCCAACAUAUCCCAUGGAAAGAGAGGGCAAUUUGGGAGAGCUGAGCUCUCUCUCUCCCUUUCUGACCAUACUGUACUGUGGAGCUUUACUUUGAUGUGGCCAAUUCCUAAGUUCUUAUGGACAUGUUGGGAUGCCUGGCUUGCCAGGUAACCUCUUUCCAAGAUUCCAAAUAGGGAGUGAGGCAGGACCUCUUUGCCCUACUUGUUCUCUUCAACUUGUUAAGGUUUCUGUCCAGGUUGAGGAAUGGAACACAGUUUGACUGUCUACCUCUCUGCCUCUGUUUCUUUUCUUCUCUCUGCCUUUAGCCCACCCUCCGCCUUCAAUAGUGUUGGAUUAUAAAAGGGGAUGGGCUUCUCUUUUACGUCUUCUAUUUUAUGUCCUUUCUUUGCUGCCUCUAGUUUUAUGGCCUUCUUAUUUAUACCAUGGGAAAAAUUCUAUAUCAAGCUGAUAUGUAAAAUGGAAACAAAAGAUAUUUAAACUUUCAAACAUAUUGCCUUGCUUUAAAAUCAGUCAGUGGCUGAAUAUUACCUUUCUUCUUCAAUAAUCCAAUUUUCCUUCUGUCCACCCCAUUCCUCACCUGCUGCCAAGAAAGGUGGGUAACUUGGCUGGCGAUGGAGAAGACCAGGUAUUGUGCGUGUAAAUCUACAUUAUUAUUUUCCAAAUACUUCCUCUUAUACCGUGACAAAAGAGCCCUAACUGAUGAUACACAUCUCACAUUUUGCCCAUGGAUAACUUAAUCUUUCCUUUUUGCUGAGGUCUUUCCAAGAAUUAUCAAGAAGGAAGUUGAUCCAGAGUAUAAAGAGAAGCAGAUGGGAUGGUUGCACUGGCAGUGAGUGGACACUGGAGACUCAGGUCAAGUUUGGCGAGCAGAAGCUAACCUCUCCUCAUGGUGCCAUGAAGGGAUGCAAAGCACCCUGGAGCCCAGGUGCCAUCUGCAGAGACUGUGGGAAGCAGAGGCAAGAGAUCUGACAAUUCUAGACCAUUGGAUAAAUCACUGCAUUUGACUGAGUUUACCUAAAACAUGAUUAGGGUGUGAGGAAAGUUGAGGGCUCAGAGUUAAUAAAUUAAAAGUGGUAAUAGAUAAACAAAGAAAUAACAAAUUUGAACUCUCAAAUUUUUGACUGUGAAAAUUCUGUCUCUCAUAUGAGAUUGGAUUUGUUCCCCUUUAAAUCAGUUACUCACUAUUUUCCCAUGCUUUGGAUGUGUGAAAUCCUGGAAGAAUUAUAAUGAAGAUGUUUAUUCAAGUUUGCAAAGAAGUAGCAGGAGCCUGAGAUAAUCAAAAGACCAUUAAAAGCCAAAAUGUGGGAGAUUUGAAGGUUCUUUAGGGCUUUCAUGAGCAGAAAGUCCCAUCCUGGAUCAGCUAAUCAGAAUGAAAUAAAGAGAUGAAAAAUGACUGGUGUUAGGUUUCUCACUGUUGGAGUGGGAAGUUACAGACAUGAAAAGGGGGAAGGCUAGAAUAAUCCAUGUGGUAAUGAAUUAGAGUGGAGACAUUACUGUGAACUCAUGUUUAGCUCAAUAUAGAUACAGAUGGUUACAUAUAGAAAUAUUUUAGGUGUGUGUAUAUACACAAGUUUAUAUAUACAUAUUUAUUUCCUUGUUCUGUCAGCCUGAGAAAUGACACCCCAGUAGCCAUGAGCACAUCUGGAGCCCAGAUCUCAGUUUCUAAUACCAUUCGUUCUGCAAUAAAAGGAACUGGAGUGCCUUGGAAAAAUGACAGAUUCUAGGAUUAAGGCAGGCAAGCUACAAAAUGAGCCUGAGACUCUUGUAGAGCCAUAAAUAAGGAAGUGCUCAAAAAAAAUCUACAAUGAUGGGGAUAUGGCAAAGGAACAUAGGAGCCAAAUGAAAAGCUCUCAAUGGCCAAAACUGAAAUAACUUGAGUAACAAAAUAACCAAAGUAGUAUUGGAUUAUAACCCAAAUUAUGAAAUAUC
ensembl:lncRNA